rnacentral:rRNA from 1 species
CUACGGGUCGCACCAGUAGGGAAUAUUGCGCAAUGGACGAAAGUCUGACGCAGCAACGCCGCGUGGGUGAUGAAGCAUCUUGGUGCGUAAAACCCUGUCAGUGGGGAAGAAACGUACGGGGAGUAACUGCCCUGUGCCUGACGGUACCCACAGAGGAAGUCCCGGCUAACUCCGUGCCAGCAGCCGCGGUAAUACGGGGGGGACAAGCGUUGUUCGGAUUUACUGGGCGUAAAGGGCGCGUAGGCGGAUCUUCAAGUCGGGUGUGAAAACCAACAGCUUAACUGAUGGCCUGCACUCGAUACUGUCGAUCUUGAGUACGAGAGAGGAGAGCGGAAUUCCAGGUGUAGCGGUGAAAUGCGUAGAUAUCUGGAAGAACACCAGUAGCGAAGGCGGCUCUCUGGCUCGAUACUGACGCUAAAGCGCGAAGGCAUGGGGAGCAAACAGGAUUAGAUACCCCUGUAGUC